GGGGGUGUAGCUCAACGGUAGAGCAGGCGGCUUUAUACACCGCGGAGCGCCAGAUCAGCGUACGAUCCCGGUUCGAAUCCGGGCGCCCCUACCA
rnacentral:tRNA from 1 species